GCACUGUGGAGUAAGAGAUAUGCUUCUGGGGACCAGAGCUCUCGCCUUGCUGGUCCAGAGCACGAGGUGUGCAUAUCCAUCUAGACCUGGGAGAAUGGGAUCAUGGCCUGUGAGGGAGCCUUGGGAGAAUAGGCCACAGUCUGUGGAAAACCGGUGAGGCCUGGCACAAUGGGAUUGUAUGAGGAGCUGGGGAGCUGAGGCACUCACAGGUUUCGGCUUGGAUGCUUGGUAGAUGACUAAUUUAAGAGCGUGGGUCAAUGAGGGAGGAUAAAGAUCCAAGACAUUCAAAAGCUGAGCUGGUGUGCAGUCUGCAUGACCCGAGACUCUCUGGGAGUCCCAGGAGAGUAGGGUGACUGUGGCAUGUUGGGCCUGCCCUGCAUGGGCUGUUGCACAGGCAUUGUUCACCACAGAGACAGGAAGUAUGUGCACACUUGCAGAAUGCAAGAGACCUGGGCAGAACCCACGAAGAGCUUGCAUGCAGACUACAAGAUUCCAGCAAGGCCUAGGAGUGUCAUGAAAUGGGUGGGUCCUGUGGUUAUUGGCCCCUGUCAGGCCUGUAUUGGGGUGCAGACUACAGGAACCAGGGUUCUGUGUCAAAGAUCAAGAGAAAUCAUGGGAUCUGGGAGUCUCAGCUCACUGGGUGCUGUGAAACCAACAGAGACCUUGUUUUAUCACAGUGGUUCUCAUCCUGUGGAUAGAGACCCACCAAGGACCAUCUGAAUCACAGAUCUUUGCCUGGCAAUUCAGAACAGUAGAAAAAUAACAAUUACUGGGUCCCAACGACAAUAAUUUUAUGCUUGUUGGUCACCACGACAUGACCACCGGUCUUAAAGGGUCACAGCAUCAGGAAGGUUGAUUCCCAGUGACUUAUGGUUUCCAAGAAGGUGGGAAAGAGUCUGGUCACUCUCCAUGAUUGGAAUGUGUAAGGCGCUAUGAUCCCAGCAGGGGGCGCUAUCCUGGGAGAGUGGGACAAGGGUGGUGGUUGAUAUUCUGGUCACUCAUGAGGCUUUGGUGUUGCACAGGCUACUGGACCCUCUACAGGGUUCCAUUACAGACAUGGAAGUCAUGAGUGUGUGGAAGGCUACAGGUCAGCCAUCUCCCAGGAUGGUCUGACUGUGAGCAAUAAGACCCCAGCUGAUUCUGAAUGAUGAAGUGUUGGGGAAAAAUUGGGCACAUAAAAGCCCCAAGUAUAUGUUCAGGUUCACAAAGCUGUGCAACACCAGCUGGGAGAGUGAAUUGUGGAUAGGGCCAAGGAGGGAGGAUUUGAGUCUCCCUCUAUUCUGGAUUGGGCAAAUAGUUGUGGGGCCCAGCAAAGCCUGUGAUGGGGGUAAUCUAGGAGCAUCACAUGACCCAGGCCUCAAAGCUGACUGGCUCGCUGAACAUGUCUUGUCCCAUCAAGGCCCUGUCUUGUCGUGGUGGCCUGCAAAUGUGUGUCUUGGUCUCACCUGACUGCACUGGCACACAGAACCAGUGUCCUCAGCUAGGCUGUGCACUGUGUAGUUAGGCGAAUUCCUCUGUAGGACUAGAGCCCUCCUCUUGCCGGGCUAUUGUACCAGGUGUGCAUACCCAUCUAGACUUGAAGAAGGGAACAUGGCCUAUGAAUGCAGGUCUGGGUUCCUCACUUUGCUGGAAUGGAUCACUGGCAAUGGCAGAUCAGCAAGGCCUGGGACUAUGGGAUUGUAUGGGGAGCUGAGGAGCUGAGGCAAUCACCUGUCUCUGCUUGGCUACCUGGGAGGAUGGCCCCAGCGUGGCCUAUGAGCAUGCACCAGUGUGAGAGGAUAAAGUUCUAGAACACUCCAUGGCUGGGCUGGUGUGCAGUCUGGGUGACCCCAGCACUCUCUGAGGAUCCUGACAGAGUAGUCUGACUGCUUCAUGUUAGGCAGUCACCAGGACAGGGUAUUUUUGCACAGGCAUUUUGAUGCCACAUGCCCAUGAAGAAUGGGCACAGUGUAAGUAGGGAAGGGAUAGGACCAGAAUACAUGUGGGAGGGACGAUGGGGGUGGAUGAAUAUCUGGGUCACUCAGGAGGCUUUGGUGUUACACAGGCUCAUGGACCCUUCACAGGCAUCCAUAGAGGAUGUGCAUGACAUGGGUGAGUGGAAAGCUGCAGACCAUCUCCCAGGAUGGUCUGACUGUGAGCACUAGGAUACCAGCUGAUUCUGAAUGAUCAAAUUUUGGGAAAUUGGGGACAGAGAGACCCAUCUAACAGGUCAGGUCCCCUUGGAACACCAUUUGGGCCAUGGAGUGAUGGACAGGGCCAAGCAGGGUGUGUGUGUGUCCCCCUCUGUUCUGGGUUGGGGAUAUAUAUAGUUGAGGGAACCAGCUAGGCCUGGGAAGCAGGGAUUGCAUGAGCAUGAUGGGACCCGGGCCUCAAAGCUUGGUGGCCUGAUGCACAAUUGUGAUAGCCCAGCAAGGCCCCGCACGUUGGUGGCGGUGGCUUGCAAAUGUGUGUCUUGGUCUCACCUGGAUGGACUGGCACAAAGAACCUGUGUCCCCAUCUUUUCCAUUCACUGUGGAGUAUGAAAAAUGCAUCUCGGGGACUAGAGCUCUCUACUUGCUGGUCCAGAGCAGGUGGUGUGCAUAUCCAUCUAGACCUGGGAGAAUGGGAUCAUGGCCUGUGAGGGAGCUUUAGUUCCUCAUUUUGUGAGAAUGGACCACAGUCUGUGGAAAACUGGUGAAGCCUGGCAUUGUGUUUGUAGUAUGAGCUGAGUAUCUGAGGCACGCACAGGUCUCUGCUAUGAACCUCAGGAAUGUCUCCAAGUAUGCCCUUUGAACACGUGUUAUUUUGUGAGUAUAAAUUUCUAGAACCCUCCAUAUCUACCUGGUGUAUAGUCUAAAUGACUCCACCAGUUUAGUAUUAUUCAGGCAUUCAUCGACGACCUGAUCUGAUUGUAAGCUCUAAUAUUUCUAGCUGAAUCUGAAAGAUCGAGUAUGGGGUUUCAUGAGACAUAAGAUCACCAACUCUCUGGCCAGGUCUGAAAUCUCUGCAAGUCCAACUCACCCAGUUAAUGAUGGGCAAGGCCAAGGAUGUUGUCACCCUCUCUUCUUGUUUGGGGAAUUUUUGUGGAACCUAUCAUAGCCUAUAAGGGGUGACUCCAUGAGUAUGAAGAAAACCAAGUUUCUAUGUUUGUUUGUUAGAUGCCCAUUUUGUGGCACCUCUCAAUCACUGAACUGUAGAUUGCCUCCAAAUAUCUCUCUUGCUCUCCAUGUUAGACAGGCACACAUGUAUGUCCUCUGUAAGGCUCUCCCUUUUGAAGUUAAGCAGACAUCUGUGGGACUAGAGAUCUCCCCUUGUUGGUCUAGUUCACAAGGUGUGCAUAUCCAUAGACCUGGGAGAAUGGGAACAUGGCCUAUGAUGACAGCCCCAGUUUCUUUGCUUUGCUGGAAGGGAGCACAGGAUGUAGGUAUCCAAGUAGGCUGUGAGUGUGGGUUUGCAUGAGGAGUUGAGUAUCUGUUCCACUGACCUCUCUGGGCUGGUAUACCUCAAGCAUGACCUGAGCUCGUCCUCAUAAUAUGGAAAAAUAUCCUCUGAGGUCAUGUAAUGAAGAUUACUCUGUGCUGGGUUGAUCUGAAUCUGUGGGACCUCAGCUAGUGUUGUGAUUGCAGGAUUUCAUGAGAAUUUGAUAUCUGGGGAACUCAGCAUGUUGGGCUGUUGCAUAUGCAUCAUGUUGUUAGCUGUGCCUAAGAAGGUGGAGAUACUUAGUUUUGAUGCAGUCAUGAGACACUCAAUAAAGGUGGGCUGGUUUGUGGCUGCAUGAUUCUAACCUUCUCUGCAAACUUGUAGAAAGCCAAGUUGUGGUGCUUUUUAGUUAGUUACCAGGAUGUGAUGUUGCACAAGUAUGGAGACCCAGACCAGGAGUAUGACCAUCUUGUUGGAAAGCAUGAUACUAGAUCAGUCUCAUUGAUUUGUCUAGUGUGCAGAGUGCAAGAUACCAGUUAAUAAUAGGUGUGUAAGGACCGGGAAGUUUCACAUGAAUUUGUUUCUCAGUCUGCUGUGGUAGCAUGUUGAUUGCUACGUUAUCUAUUCCUGGGAAUAUGAAGGGCAGUGGGCAUGCUGGGUUCAGGAGUACUUACCUGGCUCAUCUGGUUGGCAAGCUGUGAGAACCAGAGUAGGCCUGGGAUUUUUAGGCCAAACAGGUGGGUGAAUGUCUGGGUCACUCUUCAGGCUGGGCAGGUGUUAGGUAGUGUGUGGCCCAUACUGAGACUUGGUAUAUGUGGCCAGUUGUGGUAGCUGGUUAUUUGGGGUCCAUCACUAGGUCUUUUUUGUUGGUUAGCAUUUGCUUGGUUUCUAUGAAGUUAUUUUUCAAGUAUCUGCCAGGUAGUUUCUAGGUUUUUCCCCCUUGAUAUUCCCGUGUAGGAGUAGAAUUUUUCUAGUUGUUCCAGCUUUGUGUUUUUUUCAACUAUAAAUUCUUGACCAAUGGAUGUCUUUCAUGUACAUGUUCUUCUCUGCAUUGUCUGGUCUAACAAUGAAAGACAGAUUUCAGCUGUGUGUCUUUGCUAUCACAAAGUUUCCUUGGACACAAUGAUUACCUGUUUGGUGUUUAAUGGUUCCUAUGCCAUAUCUUUCAUAGACAUUGCUGUUCGGAUCUCCAUGACCUUUCCAUCACUUUUUAACUCUAUUUUUGAAGAAAAAGCUUUCCAUGUAAUGUUUUCCACAUUAGGAGCUGUAUUAAUCUGCAUUUUUCUAUUCCAGCUCUUUCUGCUUUGACCAUUAAAAAGUGUUCCAUAUCCAGUUUUUAUCUAGUUACCUAUGUUCUGGCCAGGAAGUAAACCUUUAAACUCAGCUACUUCCAAAGAGGUCACAUCAUAUAGGUUUCAAAGGAAGUUUACCAUUUCUGUAUCUUCACCAUUAUUAUUUAUUCUAAUCUGGGAGGAAUAUUGUAUUUAUAUGUUUUUCAUAGCUGGAUUUGUUUUAGCCAUGUAGCAGUCUUCAAUAUCUAUGUCUUCUCAAGUUAUAGAUGCCUUCAAAUCAUAAUAUCUACUCUAUAUUCUUGUCUUUCCCAGAUAUACUUCUUUGAGAGCUACCGAAAUCCUCAAUUUCCACAUCUUUCAAAGCCAUAAUUUUUUACUGAGUGUUCCCCCACCACAGCAAUAACUGUUUAGUGAUGAAAAAUAGCUACCAUUUUCCUAUCUGUGUCAUGAAAUAUAUUCUGCAUGCUACAUUUUCUACCAUAGACAAUAUUAUUAGGAAAUAAGCCUUCUAUCACAUCUUUACUAACCACAGAUACUUGGUGCAUUGAAGAAGUUUUUCAUAUCAAUUACUCAAAAUGAGUACCCAUAAAAGAGAUAGAAUUCAGUUCUCAGUCUUGCAUAAUCAUUAAAGUUUUUAUUUGCAAAGAGAACAUCUAGUAUGACUUAUUUACUCAUAAGGGUGUUUAAAAUCAUGUUAUAAUUUUCCAUGCCUAUAUGUUUCUAACUCACAAAUACUCUGGCAAUAGAGUUCUCUGCAGUCACAUACUUCCUGUUGCUGCUUUAGUAUUGGAAUAAGUCAUCUAUCACUAUAUCUUUCCCUAGAUAUAGAUGCUGUUGACAAGAAAGUGAUGCUCAACUUCUAUGCCAUCUCAUUCAGUGCAGGGUUGUAGCUGUGAAAUGCCUUCCAAAUCCACUCCAUCAUGAGCUAAAGUUGCCCGGUAAUGCAAGAAGUUUUCCAUUACCAUAUCUUCCCAAUCCACAUCUACCCUGCUUAAGGAAAUUUUCCUGCUUCUCCUCUUCCAUAGACUCAACAAAGUUGGUCAGAAAAAAAAAGUUUCACCUCUGGCCAAGAAAUAAGUCCUUCACCUUCAUGCUUUCCCCAGGUGCAUCUACUUUGAUAAUGGAAGAAGCCAUUCCUUGCUCAUGCCUUUCAAAGUCUCUCUGCUCUGGUUAUGAGCUUGACCUUUAAAUGCUAUAUGUCAGAGCUCCUUCCAUAAAAAAAUAUACCUUCUUGUUUUCUCCAAACUAUAGCUGCCUUUGUUACAGAAUUUAUUUAUUUAUUUAUUUAUUUAUUUAAUUAUUUAUUUUUUUUUUUUUUUUUGCUAUCAUGGCUUCUCAAGUCAUGGCAGCUUUGAUCAUGAGAGCAGACUUGCCACAGAACAUUCCUUGCUAACCCCAUUCCUGUCAAGAUAUAUCUAUUUUUGUCACAUUAUAAUUUGUGUUUCCUGAACUUCUGCAUCCAUAACUACUUUGACAAGUAAACAAUGUGCCUAAAGCUAGGAUUUCUCCUGCUACAUUUGCUGUUAAUGUGAAUGAAAUCUGUUUUGGUGACCACAGGAAGUUUCCUCAUUCCUCUGUGGCCAUUUCUGCUCUGACCACUGAAGAUUUUUCUGGUUGUGUAUGGCCAUGUUUGUAUUGAGAUAUUAUCUCAUCGGUCAGGAUGAUUUUUUUUUAAAGAUAUAUCUAUUUAUUUAUGUAUACAGCAUAUGUGAUUGCAGGCCAGAAGAGGGCACCAGAUCUCAUUACAGGUGUUUGUGAGCCACCAUGUGGUUGCUGGGAAUUGAACUCAGGACCUCUGGAAGAGCAGUCAGUGCUCUUAACCUCUGAGCCAUCUCUCCAGUCCUGAGUCAGGAUGAUCUUGAACUCAUGAUUUUCCUACAGUUCAAGCUAGCAAUUCUUUGAUAUGUAUAUCUGAGCUUUACAACAUCCACAUAGUAAACACAACUCUACAGCAAGAUGAAUUAAUAGAUGUAUUAUCUUAUAUACCUGUUUUUUUGUGACAAAAGCAGCUAAAAUCCACUUAUUUAGUAAAAACCCUAAAUACAAUAUGGUCUUAUUAACUAUAGUACUCAUGCUGCCAUACAUUGUCUUUAUAUUUGCUUCUCCUACACAUCUGCUACUUCAGGAUUCCUUUAGAACAGUUGUCUCCACUUCAGCACAGUGAAGGUUCCCUUGCAGAGCAAGUGCGAGUCCAUCCUGCUACCUCCUACAUUUCUAGUUUCACUCAAGUCUUGACAGUAUGCAGAGAAACAUAUAAAGAAUAUGCUAAUUGGUACAAAGUUCUAGGCAAGGACAGCCAAGUAGAUGAGCCCAGUUUGUUCUCUUCUGUACAGUUUUGCAUUCUUAUCUAUGCCUAUUUCUAUGGAUGUAUUCCAUUUUCAUGCUAUAUGUUUUGGGUUUUUACUCUGUAUCCUGUAUCUGUAUCCAACUUGAGAAGGAGACUGCAAGUGUAGCAUGGAGAACACACUGUACUUAUGAAGACAAUGGACAAUUCAGGAACUAUUUUCUAAAAGGUGAAUAGAUCUCAGAAGCAAUCAUUGAAACCCUCCCUAAACCAUCAGGAAUUCAUUAGAGUACAGUGAGGCUUUCUAUGGGCAAAGCCAAUGUCUACCUAAGAGAGAGGAUCUGGGGAUGUCUGUCUGUCUCAACUCAGCCCUUUCAUCAGACCAAACAUACCAAGAAAACUUAGCCUUGUAACUUGUAAAAAGUCACCUAUGGGUAAAAUACUGUUUUCAUAUGAAUACCAUGAGUACUGGGCUUGGUAGUAUACUCAUGUAAUCCUGGCAUUAAAAAGACCAAAGCAAUAGGAUUACAGCUCAGUCUGGGUUGUAUAAGAACCUGUCUAAAAAUGGCUAAUACAUAUUACUUUUACUCAUACUCGCUCUUCUUUCUUUGAAAUAUCCCUGUGUCUCUGAACUCCAUUUGGCUCAACAUCCUGUCUUCUUAUACUCAACUGAGGAACACCUUUGGACAUUUGUAUCUGGAUUUCCUUCAGGCUUGGUGUUUGGUAUUUCUUAUGUAGACCUCCACACCAUAAUUACAGGUGUUUUUAAACAGAAAUGCCACCCAUUAGCUCUGUCAAGAGGAACAGCUAGUCAACAUGCCACCACAUUCCAAAAACUUGCCUAGGAACUGGCCACAAGCUGAAGUCCCAAGAUCAUCUGGACAUGAAGAAUCACUUCAUAUUUCCAUAAAUGCUAGUUUGGCUGUGCUUGUAAUCCAUGGUACUUGGGAGACUGAGGUGGGAGAACUACUUGAGUUAAAGAACUGAGUUGACCAUCCUGAACAACAUAGUAUGACCCCAUCUCAAAUCAAAACCAACCAAACACCAGAAAAGAAAUUCAUUGACUUUCUAGUGAACUUGCUGAGGAAAAGGAUUGUAUUGCUAAAUGUUAAGGGAUAAUGUUAUUAAUAUUUUAUAUUGAUGGUAUUUUAUUAUUUAAGCCACAAAAAUACUCAUUCUGAAUAACACACAUUCUUGAGUGAACUUUUGGAAUGGGUGAGAUACUUAUAUGUACACAUGUGAUGAGAUAGUAUUUGUGGAGUUUUAGACCGAUAUUGUUGUUCAUAGUAUACUGAUGGUACACUGUAUAUCUUUUUCAUUGAUUUGGAUAAGAUUGGUGGAUUGGAAUUUACAAGUAAGAUGGUGGUUUAAAAGCUCCAUCUGAGUCAGUGGAUAAAAAUGUUAUGAUAAAAACAUAAUAGAUCCUAUUUAUAUACAAGAAAAACUAAAAAAAUAAAAAGCCGAAGUCUGAAUUUCUCUACAAUGAAGGAGCCAGGUCCACCAGAAAUCAGUUGUGGUACUACUGCCAGCCUUGUGUUCUCAUAGGUGACACCAUGAAAGCCCAGGAGAAAAGGCCUGGGCUGUGUAAACACAACCGGGUGGAUAAAAAUUCCAUAUAUAGAACAAGUUGUGAGUAGUAGAAAUGUGGUUUGAAAACCUAAAGAUCACUACACAUUAAUAAAGGGAUAAUUCGUCAAGAAGAUUAGAAUAUUAUUAACAUUUACACACCAAAUAUCAGGUACAAUCAGCAGGAAAUUUCAAAACUCUAAUCUGUAGACACAUACUUCAAACUAAAAAUCAACAAAGAAACAGUUUAAGUAAAUAACACCAGAAAGAAAUUGCAUUUAACAGAUACAAAGUAUUCUAUCCAACUAAUAGGGAAUGCACAUUAUUCUCAGCAGCAAAUAAGGCUCUCUUUAAAACUACGCACAUUAUAGGAUACAAAGCAAAAAUCGAAUUACUUAUAUUUUAUCAGAUAACAGUAGAAUAAAAGCAGCUACACAAGUACUUAGUACUGAGCAAUACAUUUUUGAAUGAACAGUGGAUCAUUGAGGAAAUCGAGGAAAGUUUUUGAAAUCCUAAAAACAAAUGAAAAUUAUGAUAUAACCUACCAAAACUUAUGGGAUACAAAAAGACAUUCAUAAGAGGAAAGAUUAUAGCUCUAAGUGCUUACAUUUGAAAAAAAUCAAUGAGAUCACUUAUGUUAAAAAAAUUAAUGAGAUCACAAAUAAAUAACCUAAUUAUAUACCUCAAGGUUCUAGAAAAACAACAAGUCAAACUCAGAUGGAUGAUAUGAAUGUCAAGAAGUAGACACGAAUAAUAUAGUCAAUCAAACAGAAAGUUAGUUAUUUGAAAAGAGAAAGAUCAAAAAUCUAAAGAAAAAUAGAUAUCUAAAUAAGAAAAAUUAGAGGUGAAAAAUAAGCUCUUACAGCAGACUCUAAUAAAAUCCAGAGGGACAUUAAGGAAUACUUUGAAUCCUCAUUCUAAAAAGCUAGAAAACUGGGGCUAGAUAUGUAGCUCAGUGGAAAAGUGCUCCUGGCAUGUUCAAAGUCCUAGAUUUGAUUCCUAGCACUGUUGAUAAAACCAAAAUGUUAGAAAACUUAAAAGAAAUGGAUAUACUUUUUAAAAAUUCUACAGAGAUUUAUUUUAAAACAAUUUUUUAGUAUGCAUGCAACUUUACCAUUUAGUAAAGAUGAAAGGAAAUCUGCAAACUAAUGAGAUAGACAUGUUUAUUUUUAUAUAAGGAAUUAAAUCUUGAAGCAGGUGUGGCACACCCAGUACUUGGGAGGUAGAGGCAAGAGGAUCAAGAGUUCAAGGCCACCCUCAACUACAGAGCAAGUGUGAAGCUGGCCUGGGCUACAGGAGACAUUGUCUCAACUUCUCCCACAUGCCCCUAAAGGGUACUAAAUCUGAGCUGUUUGGUAUCACACAAUAUCCAAUGUUUUUCAGAGUUUAUUGAUGUUUAAAUUGCCUAUCUGUCAAUGCUAAGAAUGCCGUUUUACAGAUAGUACAAAAUGGCAGAAACAUGUUUAUGGCCAUUUCAGACACUGUUGGAAAUUCUAUCUUAACCUCAAGCCAAAAAAAAUUCAUUUAAUGGUUUCUUUUUAAAAUGAAACUCAAGCUACCAACUCAAACAAAUUUUCAAAAGAAAUGGACAUAUUUUUAACCCAUGUAAGCUGCUAACAUGAAUUCAAGGAGAUACAAAUAACUACAAGAGAUGCAAAAUAAGCAAUGAUAUUGAAGUUUUCCUACAUAGAAAAGUCAAGGGCUGGAUGGAUUCACUAUUGAAUCCUAACAAAUAUUUGAGGAAGUCUAGCAUCAGCACUUCUUAAAUAUUUUCAUAAAAAAGAAAUAGAGAGGACACCAUUAAACUUAUUCUGUGAAGCUGUUACUAUCGUGAUACCACAUUUCCCUGGUGAACAGAUAUACAAAUUCUCAAAUUCUUAUUUUGGUAAUUACCAGGGUCAUUGUCUUAGUCAGUCUUCUAUGUCUGUGAAGAGACACCAUGACUGUAGCAACUCUUCUAAAUGCAAGCACUUAACUGGGGCUUACUUACAGUUUCAGAAGUUUAGUCAAGAAUUAUCUUGGCAAGAAGCAUGUGGCAUGGCAGCAUGCAGGCAGACAUGGUGCUGAAGAGGAGCUGAGAGUUUUACAUCUAGAUCUGAAAG